rnacentral:lncRNA from 13 species
AGGUGCAGGCAAUUCUCCUGAUUACAAAUAUCGCUGUUACAUUACGAUCUUUCAAGAAUUGAAUAGAAAAUUAAUGCGGUUACGCAGAAAAAUCUAUAAUCCGCGAUUUUCUGAAGUGUGUAAAAGGCAUACAUCUUCACAUAUUUAAUUUAUAGAAUAUCCUCCGAAAGAGUUUCAGCUGACACCGAUGUAUGUCAAGAAAGCUUUCAAAGAAUCGCUGUUUAAAGAGAUGGAAGCAAAUCUUCUGAUUACAAAUAUUGCUGUUACAUUAAUUGAGAUCAUUCACCAGGAAUUGAAAAGAAAAUUAAUGAAGACGGUUACGCAAGAAAAUCUAUCCGACAUUUUCUAAAGUCUGUAAAAGGCGUUGUAGAUUUUCACAUAUAUAAUUAUAAUAGAAUGACCAUACAAGAGAGGUUAAGUUGGCACCGAUGUACGUUAAGAAAGCUUUGUUGAAAUAUAAAAUUGAGUGAGCUAUCAAUAAAAAAAUUGUUUAUUUUUGGGUGAUAUUUAACGUAAAUCGAAAUGUAAUUUUUCCACAAAAUUUUUGAUUUGUAAAGAUUACGACAUGCCAUACCAAAUGAUUUAUACUUUGUUGUAAAAAAUUUGCUUCAUAUUCUUGUUACGUUCAUCGGGAAUAAAGAAACGUUUCUAUAGAAAUUUUUUAAGAUGGGACGGAUAGGACGGCCUUGUAAGGUUUCUAAUCGAGAAGCAAUUCUGCUAUUUCAGAAAUAUAUGCAAUAUUUGAAUACCAAUAAUUUUCCUUCGAGUUCUGCAAAAGUUUGGAAAGACAUGAGCAAAGAUCUAAAUGGAAGAUGGAAACUGCAUUCAGUUUAUACACAUGUGACAGAAAAUAAAAAUGGGAAUUUUCAAGCAGCUCGUCAGAACGGGAAGGUAGCGUACAGUACUAUUGCACACAAGCCACUCACAACCACUCAUAGCGCUUGAACAGAAGAAUAUCUCUAGGCACCAGCCGCUGUGAUUGGCUGUGUGCAAUAGUACUGUGCGCUAUCGGUACCUUCCCCGUCAGAACUUGGGUAUAAAUAUCCAACCUCCUAUGUUCAAAACCGUUGAAGAUGUUACCGUUAAGGAAUCAUCAGGGAAUUCUGAGUUGGAUGAAUCAUCUUUCGACGAGAAUGAAGACGUUGAUGUUGAUUUCUUCCCUCUAGUUCUUUCACCUACAGAGUGGGAACAAAUAAAGCCCGAGCAGAUUUCUAAUCAAAAAAGAUAAAAAUCAUGGGUUUGGCCAAAUGUAAUCACAAAAGCAUUUUGGAAUAUGUACAAAUUUCCAUGUGCUUUUCUGGGCAAAUGGUCGUACGUGCGCAUGGAACUUGAGGACGUAAAUAAAAAUAAUGUUGAAUCUUCCUCUGAUUUCUAUUUAAAGUUUAAAGGAUUAUGUAAAAGCAAGAAAUGUAGUAACAAAAUUGUUGGUGUUGCCGACAAAAAAUCUGUCAAUGGAAAACUACACUUAAUAAUCAGAACAUGUGAUACUCGUAAUGAUUAUCAUGAAGAAGUUAAGAGACCAUUGCAUGGUCCCGAAAGGAAAAUAAUUGGACGAAAAUUAAAACGAAAAAGAGUCGCAGGAUAUCAGCAAAAAUUACUUGCGGAGAAUAUGGAAUUUGGAGAGAACGAACCACCGUGGGUACAAAAAUGUCAUAUUUACAGACAAGCAAAGAUGGAAUGUAACAAGAAAGAUCUCGGUAUUAAAUUAGGC